GAAUCUUUCUGCCAGUGUGUUAAAGUUAUUCUGAUAUUGACUGUAGUUCUGAGCUUUGUCUCUAUCCCACCAAACCACUAACUUCUGGAAAUUACUUGUAGACCAAGAUGGGAGGACUCCGUGUGUGGCUCCGUGAGUCUGUGUCUCCUCUUGGUCUUCACAGCUCUCUUCAUGUGACAAAGAAACUUCCUAAAAUACUAAAAGCUAAAGGAGAUUGUUAUCUAAGCUUGAGAUGGAAGGUUGCCAGCGGAAACUUGGAGGAUCACAGCCAGUCGCCUGGGAUUGACCACAGGGAGUGGCAGAGGCAGAAAGCAAAAGACCAGUUGCAAUUAUCCAGGUAAAAGAUGGAGGCUGUUGCAAUAAUCCAGAAUCCUGAAUUGAGCCUGUGUUCCCAGUUCCUAGAAACCCUCAAGGUUAUUGGUUUCCUCCUCGCUUAAUAGACCAGUGGAAGAAAUCUACCUCCAGUUCUAUCUUCACAUGAGCAACUGUUUACAGUUUACAAUAUUACUCUGAAAAUCAGUUCUUUUCAAGUUUUAUCUAACACCCACCAGAAGAAACAGAAGAUUAUGAAAAUGGAAUUUGUCAAAGUUCCUCUCCCAACAAUAUGAUAUUUAAUUUUGCUAACAUUUUUUUUUGAACACUUACUAUAUUGCAGACAAUGGUCUAAGUAAAGCAUUUUAUGUGCAUCCUAUCAUGUCAUCAUCACACAGCCCUGUGAGGUAGAUACUAUUAUUAUUAACCACAUUUCACAUUCAAAAAAACUGAGGCUUAGAGAGACUAAGUAAAUUGUCCAAGGUCACACAGCCAUGAAGUGGCAGAGCUGUGGUUAAAACCUAUGUCUGUCUGAUGUUUAAGAUUUUGCUGUUAGCAUUACUUUGAAAUGACAAUAUGAGGGCAUUUUAUGUAUUUUUUUUGCCCCAAUAUGAUCUGCAGAAACUAUGUAUUUUAAGUACUACAUUUCUUUUAUUUACCAAAUUAUUGUCAGAUAAGAAACCGAAAUAAAAGUUUACAGGGUCUAGGAUUCCUCCAUAAUGAAUGAACUUUGGGGUAUUUCAGUGACAAAUUGGCUUUAACGCGAUCAAAUUCCAUCCUACAAUGAAAGUGUGUUAGUUUGUGGUUUCAAGUUUAAAAACAGCACUGUAUUGUCUUCCAGAAAUAUAUAAAUAGAAAUUCAAGAAGUAUUUCAAUGAAUACAGAUAAAAUUAGUUUUGUUAGAACAUCAAAUAUGUGGGUUUCAUUUCUUAGCUCAGUUUAGAAACUGUAAUUUCAAUUUUUUUUAGCAGCUGUGGUAAAUUUUGAGAUUUGAAAUUUCAUAUAAUAUAAAUCCUCAUUUAUUGAGCAUUUAAAUUAUAUGCCCAACAAUUUACUGUGUACAUUACUUCACUUGUUCUUAACUAUAACUCUACAAAAUAUUAUUGUCCUUGAUUUAUAGAUGAAGAUAUUGAGACUCAGUUAAGUAACUUGCUUGAAAUUCAAAAACGUUAACUGUGGAAGGCAGUAUUUGAACCCAGUGUUCAAAACCCCAUGCUCUUUUUAUUAUAUGACCUUAUUUCCUAUUCAGUCUUCAGAAGAUAUAUUGUCUUAUUAGAUUAUUCUCGUUCUCUAAAUAAGUGACCUUGGGCAACUAUCUUUUUCCCUGGUAUUUUCCCCUGCCUUUAAAACAAUGUGAUCAAACUGGAAGUUUUUCACGAUCUCUCUUAGCCCUAAAGCUCCUUGGUUCUGUAAUUCCACCAAUAGCCCAUUUCAAAAAUAAUUCUACAGUAAUCAGUGGGACUCCUGUUUUUCCCAUCUUUUUUUUUUUUGAAACAGAAAAUUGAAACUUUUAAAUUAGUUUAGUAAAUACAUCUACUAGUUUUUUUCUUUUAUAGUCAUGGUUAUAUUAUUUGGUCCUUCUUAGUUGCAACAUGUUUCCUUGCUGUCAAUUUAUAAUACCUCUCAUCAACAAUAGCCUGAAGAAAUAGAUUUGAAUUGCUUUCCCUAAUUUAUAGCUGGAAAACUAGGCUACGCUGGUAUCUUAAAUUGACUUUCCUGAGGUCACGGGCACUCAGUGCCAAGAGGAGUUGGUACCUACGCAUUUGAAAUUUCUGGAUUUCUGGUCUUACUCUGUACUUAGUCACUCUUUUCUUUCAUUUGGCCCUAUGGUGGGCAAACUACAGCCUACAGGCCAAUUCCAGCCUACCAUCUGUUUUUGUAUGGUCCAUGAACUAAGAAUGGUUAUCACAUUUUAAAAUGGUGGGAAAAAAAGACUAUUUUGUGACAUAAAAAUUAUAUGAAAUCCAA
rnacentral:lncRNA from 1 species